rnacentral:rRNA from 1 species
UCUUUCUUUGCUGGCGACCGGCGCACGGGUGAGUAACACGUAUCCAACCUGCCCUUUACUCGGGGAUAGCCUUUCGAAAGAAAGAUUAAUACCCGAUAGUAUAAUGAUUCCGCAUGGUUUCAUUAUUAAAGGAUUCCGGUAAAGGAUGGGGAUGCGUUCCAUUAGGUUGUUGGUGAGGUAACGGCUCACCAAGCCUUCGAUGGAUAGGGGUUCUGAGAGGAAGGUCCCCCACAUUGGAACUGAGGCACGGUCCAA